UGUGGGAGCGGGCUUGCCUGCGAUGCAGGCACCUUGGUACAUCAGGUACACCGAGUUGAUGCCAUCGCAGGCGAGCCAGCUCCCACA
rnacentral:misc_RNA from 1 species